UACGAAGGGGGCUAGCGUUGCUCGGAAUUACUGGGCGUAAAGCGCACGUAGGCGGCUCUUUAAGUCGGGGGUGAAAUCCUGGAGCUCAACUCCAGAACUGCCUUCGAUACUGUAGAGCUUGAGUUCGGGAGAGGUGAGUGGAACUGCGAGUGUAGAGGUGAAAUUCGUAGAUAUUCGCAAGAACACCAGUGGCGAAGGCGGCUCACUGGCCCGAUACUGAUGCUGAGGUGCGAAAGCGUGGGGAGCAAACAGGG
rnacentral:rRNA from 1 species